CUUCUUUUCUUUCUUCAUCCUCAUUUUCCAGGUGGACGCCUGAUUUCUUCUUUUUCUCAUCCUCAUUCUCCAGGUGGACGCCUGACUUCUUUAAUUCUCAUCCUCAUUCUCCAGGUGGACGUCUGACUUCUUCUUUUUCUCAUCCUCAUUCUCCAGGUGGACGCCUGAUUUCUUUAAUUCUCAUCCUCAUUCUCCAGGUGGACGCCUGAUUUCUUUAAUUCUUCAUCCUCAUUCUCCAGGUGGACGCCUGACUUCUUCUUUUUCUCAUCCUCAUUCUCCAGGUGGACGCCUGACUUCUUUAAUUCUCAUCCUCAUUCUCCAGGUGGACGCCUGACUUCUUCUUUUCUCAUCCUCAUUCUCCAGGUGGACGCCUGACUUCUUCUUUUCUCAUCCUCAUUCUCCAGGUAGACGCCUGACUUCUUCUUUUCUCAUCCUCAUUCUCCAGGUGGACGCCUGACUUCUUCUUUUUCUCAUCCUCAUUCUCCAGGUGGACGCCUGACUUCUUUAAUUCUCAUCCUCAUUCUCCAGGUGGACGCCUGACUUCUUCAAUUCUUAUCCUCAUUCUCCAGGUGGACGCCUGACUUCUUUUAAUUCUCAUCCUUAUUCUCCAGGUGGACGCCUGACUUCUUCUUUUUCUCAUCCUCAUUCUCCAGGUGGACGCCU
rnacentral:lncRNA from 1 species